UGUCCCUGACAGGCUGACAUUGGCUUUGCUGCAAAACUUGGAACUGGACUGCAAGGUCGUCCCUGCACCUUUCCUGCAGUCAGAUAGGCACUUCUUCGUCCUGGACACAGGGUGUUAGGUCUCAAACCAGAGACAAAUGGCUGAGGCGCCUAAUUAACAUAUCCAAGCAAGACAUUGUCUGCCAGAUUCUCCCUGCAUCCCUCAGUUGGGCAGGCACUGAGAGAGUGGAGGUGGUCUGCAGGAUCACCAUGGAGCUGGAAUCCAAGGACCAUCAAACAUCUACCCAGAUGGUAAAGGAACCACAACAGUUAAAAGCCCAUACAGGAUGAAGGACAGAGGAGUAGCUGGGAAUGAUGGCUGCAGUUGAUAUCUGAAGAGAGAGCUGGGCCUGUCUUCCACCCACCCCCAUCUCCAGAGCUGUGCCCAGACCAAACUCUGGAUGCUACCAACCACCAAUUCCAGAGCUGCGCCCAGACCAAAAUCUGGGAAGCUACCAACCACCAACUCCAGAGCUGCGCCGAGACCAAAAUCUGAGAUGCUACUAACCACCAACUCUAGGAUCUGGUCUGGCACGAGAGACAAGGACUGAUUUUCCCCCUCUGGAUCCCGGGAAGCCCUAAAAGAAAGCAGACUGUUUAUAAUCAGCCUCCAAGACAGCCAGGUGUGCAGUAAGAAUGGAAGGACUCCAGAAUGUGCUGCUUAUGUCUCUGCACUCUACUGUGAGUUUUAAAGGGCAUGUAGCUGUAAACAGGAAGAUGUCCAGGAGGCUUGUGUUUAUACUAGGCCUAAAAACAAAGUAGCUUUUCUCAGCCCUCAAAAGCCUAAUCCAGUGGCAAAACCCUGAUAGCCAAAGAGAACAACAGGAACAGGAUCCCCAUGUCCCUGUACCCCAGGGCAUGAUGUCCCCCAAAGUGCUGACUCCCCAGCACAGGGUGACAGUCCCCCAGUCCUGCCCUCCCCAUCUGUGUAGACAACUGCUGCUCCCCAGUCUUAGUGAGAGGGCCUGGGAAAGUCCCUCUGGACCACACACUGAACUUAGUGUCCAUUGGUCCUCUUGACCAGCAAGCCCAUCAUACCCAGGUCACCUUUGUCACCUUGCAGCAAUUAGAAGAUGGAAAAGGACCACAGUAAUAGUUCUUAGAGAAACAGAAACAGGGGUUGUGGGAAAACUGGGAUGGUACCUGGGUGUUGGGUUUGGGUUAUAAACUUGAGGUCUCAUAAGCCCCUUUGCCUCCUCCCAGGGUUCCACAUUCCAUCUUUCAUUGUGGUUGUUGAGAUAAAAUAGAGAACAAAAAUGCCCAAGAUAGUACAGAUUGCCAAACGCAAUAUAUACUAAGAAGCUAUAAAUGGUGAUGUUUGAUCUUUCCCUGGAAAGGGUUGUGAGAAGGUGGGGAGACAGUAUGAAGGCUUCAGAAAACAGGCUUGCCACACAUACAAAUUCUUUGCCUGAUUUGCUUUUUGCAUAGGGUGGGUCUUUCAGACACCUCAUAUACUCUCACGCUCAGUUUGAAGCCAAGCAGAGGGAAAAGUCAG